UACGGAGGGUGCGAGCGUUGUCCGGAAUUACUGGGCGUAAAGGGCUCGUAGGCGGCCAACUAAGUCAUACGUGAAAUCCCUCGGCUUAACCGGGGAACUGCGUCUGAUACUGGAUGGCUAGAGGUUGGGAGAGGGAUGCGGAAUUCCGGGUGUAGCGGUGGAAUGCGUAGAGAUCCGGAGGAAGACCGGUGGCGAAGGCGGCCUGCUGGGCAGUUACUGACACUGAGGCGCGACAGCGUGGGGAGCAAACAGG
rnacentral:rRNA from 1 species